ensembl:lncRNA
CCUCCCCAUAAAACUCGCAGGGGUCCCAGUUUGCGAGGAGAAAGAAAACCCCAUUAACCCUUUGCUCCCUCCAAUACAGUGGGAAUGGAGAAAAGAGCUGUGAGGAAGGGGAUGGUGUGUGCACAUCCAGAUUUGGGGCACGUGCGAAAGAGCGUGGCGAGGUGGUGGUGCCCAAAUUGUGCCAUGGGGAGAGGCAAGCCAUAGCCUGGCUCAGUGCUCCUCUUGCUGCCUUUCUUGCCCUAUCCACCUCCAAAAUGCGAGCCCUCUGGGUAGCGCCUGGCAGCUGUUUAACAGCACGCAGCGACGCUGCCCUGCAGUUUAGGACAGGAAAUGAAGGCGGCUGUAUCUGCGGGGGGAGUGAGGCCAGCAGACAGCAAUUACCUGUGCGGGAGCUUGGCCAGAGCUCUGCUCCUCCAAGAGCUGCCGUGGGGCGGGACGCUGAUGGCCGGGGUGCAGGUGCUGUGGGGCUGUGCCCCAUAUGUGGCUGGUGUGGUGGGCAGCAGGAAAAGCUUGUGCACAAAUGGGAAAUACUGUUGAUUGUUUUGCUUUGUUUUUGUUUAAACUUAAGUGCUCUUUUGGCCUGUGAUGGAUCAGAAAAUGGACUUGGCUGUCUCUGUGUGCACUAGAAGUACAACAUAUCGGUGAAGAAGGCAUCUUUGCCCAGCUUGACGACCUGGUGUUGCUUUGCUCUUUGGGAGAUGUAGGAUGUCCCCUGAACAGCCGCACAGGGCUUGUCCCAGCACCCCACAAGCAAUCCUGCUCAUCUCAACACUCGCCAAGGUGGGAGAAAUCUGGUUUCCCACUAGGUGGUGGAGGAGAGCUUGACUGAAAACCCUCCUGCUUGCCAUAGCCGAGCACAAGGGAAGCGGGGCUUGCAUAUAAUUAAACCCGGCUGUUUUAUCCCAGAUUCCAGUAGAGCCCAAUCCACCACGGGUGCUGGUGCAGGAGCCGGAGGGAAAGCAGUGGGGAGGUCCUGGUUGCCACUGGCUCCACUGCAAAGGCACAGCGUUUUUGUCACCUGUGGGUGUUUUAUGACACUUUAACGGAUGGUGUUUGGAAAUACGGUAUGGAAUGGUCUGCAGCUAUUAAAAAGAAUAGGAAGUGGGGGUGGAAAGUGUUCAUGCUGAUCACGAGGGAGCUUAGUGUCUCUGUGUAUCCCAUCGUGGAGCUGUAGAGCUUCGUCACACAUCUGCUGUGUGCUCACCAUGCUUCAGCACCUUUAGUGUUUUCCACUGACAUUAAUGCUUUGUAUCUCCCCUUUCUCCCCUCCUACAGGUCAAACUCAGAUGCACUGGUAGCUCCCUUAAUCCAAGGUAGGACAUGGACAGCAUGAAUGAAGAGAGGAGGAGGCUGACAGCAAGAGAUUUGCCACCUCAGGCAGGUGAUGUUUCCCACUGAGACCUCCAGUGCUUCCUGGGAGAAAAGUGGCACAGACCUGGUACUCAGGUCUCAGCUGGCUCCAUACUUCCUACAUAGUGACUGUCUUGUGUGAAAAGGGAAGGCGCUGGAAGCCCCAUCACCUUGUGCUAAAAUGUGGAUCUAGAGGCAGGCCAUGGAUGGAUGUGAGCCAGGGUGAAGCAGAGCUCCAAAGGAGUGUGAUACAGAGAUGGAUUACGCAGUCUCAAGCAGGCUCUGCUCUUCUCAUUAGAUGGCUGUGAAGCCCAUGCUCUUAAACCACCAGGGAGCAGGAGGACAUCACAUGGUUGCCCAUGAGUGCCCAAGCUGCUUCCCAUGGCUAUGCAGUGUUGGCAAGGAUUUUGGUGUCAGCUCUCCAAGGAGAUCCACAGCAAACUCCUGACCUGGAGCCUCUCAGCAGAUUUCCCAAUGAGUACAGGAGAUACUGGGUGAGGCCCUGCCAAAGCAAAGUGACGGAUUCGACAAGUGCCUCCAAUUCUCUGGUUACCAAUGCACUAAUGAACAUCUGCUAGUGUUUCUUGCAAGUUCAAGGACUUGGGCAGGCAAUCAUCUGGGGACUGAAUUUCUCAGUGUGUCUGAAUAAGACUGACAAAGUGACCUAGCUGAUGUGGCUUGUGGUCACGAGCAACAAAUUCAGCAGUGAUAUUCCUGGGUAUGGAGCUCAGGUAUUGCAUCUGUACCAAGGAGGCACAAGGGGCCGUUGAGCUGUAGCUCUCUAACUCCUCUGCAAGGCUCAGGAGAUGUGGGAUGCUUUGCUGUUGGCUUGAUAGGAGGAAAUGCUGCUUUCCUGUGAGUGAGUGAAGUUAACCCAAGACAUAGUUUUCAGCACAGAAACACCUUUCCAGCUCUGUUUCAUGGAGAAGAGACCCAACAGCUCCCUGCGAGCUGACCUGAAGCUGCAGGAAUAUUCUGAGGUGGAGUCACGACUAUUAAAGCAAAAACAAGAUGAUGCAAGGACGCAGCUCACUUGGUGUCAGCCUUUCCUGCGGAAACACAAAGAGGGUUUGUUGAUGCCACGUGUAGGCUGCCUCAGGUCGAGUCAUAUUUCUUUCUUUAUGGAGAUGAAGUUAGUCUUUAAGGCACCAGCUCAAAAUGGCCUUUCUUUCAUUACAAAGUUAUUUAGUUACGGGUAGGUAACUCUAAAUGACAUUUCUACAUCUUGCACUUUAUUAGUUGAUCCUAGCUGCUAAAUUACACAGAGUGAGCAGCAGAGUACAGCGGGGGAGUUGAGUGUGUUUUGGCUAAUUUUGGAUGGGGUCCAACCUUCUGGAGUUGGAAAUUUGCCUCCGAGAUGAUGAGCUUGUGCACCUCCCUCGGGGAGGGUUGUGAAGUCAGAAAGCAAAAAGGACUGGUGAAGAAUUAAAAACAAAAGUGUAAACACUGGGCUAUUUCCCUGCUCCCCGGAGAGCUCUGUGAGCACUGAGCUGUGUACUGUUCAGGAGAGGAAAAGCCAGCUCAGCGUCACUGACUUACUCAGAGGGUGAUGAGGCAGUGGUGCCAGCUACCCAGAAAGCUGUGAGUGCCCCCUCCCUGGAGGUGCUCAAGGCCAGGUGGGGUGAGGCCCUGGGCAGCCUGAGCUGGUGGGUGGCAGCCAGCCUACAGCAGGGGGUUGGGACCAGGUGGGCUUUAAGGUCCUCUCCAACCUAAGCCUUUCCAUGAUUCCAUGACUUGAGCUGGUGCUGGAGAUGAUGCUGGCAAGGGAACAGAUGACCACAAAGCCACCCACCCUUCCCACCUUACUUUGCUUUAAUCUGUGGAGAAGAUGCACUCUAACCUGCAGCACGAAGAUUUUUUUUUCCCCCAGCUCCAAAUGUACUAAUUUGGAGGAAAGCCUGAGUCCUCCUGAAGCUGGCAGGACUCCUUGUCAACAUGCACAAAACCCCAGAGCAGAUGGGCACAGAUUUUGGCUAAGCACAGCAGCAGUUGUUGAGUAUUACAGUCUGUCAUCUCAUCCAGGAGCAUCCCAGCAGCUGCCUUUGCUUCUCCCUUUACUGAGAGGUGUCAGUGUGCCUCUCCUUGCACCCAGCAUCGCACUGCUGCCACUGAAGUUUUGAUUUCUAUGGCCAAGAAUGUUUUCUAUUGCAAUCUCAGCUCUUGCUUUUAAAAGCCAUACAGAGAAAUGACAUACAUUCAAGUGUAGACAUGUUUCUUCAACAGCUCAUGCUUGCCCUUCCAUAACUUUCAUGUCCUAAGGAUCAUGGAAAACCUGGUAGUACAUUACUUUCAGUAGGCUGCCAGAAAGAGAGUUCAUUUAGUUUGAUGACAGAUUAAUACUGAUUCACAAAUUAAUUUUGUCUCUUUGUAUAUCAAGGGUGUCCACAACUUAUUUAAUUUGUAAUAAAUAUAAUUAUAGAAAUGAAUGAGCUAUCAAGAUUUUUAAAGUAUGAUCCAUCAAUGUUGGCA